UGUACACGCUGUGACUAGCAUAUCAAUAAGCGGAGGAAAAGAAACUAACAAGGAUUCCCCUAGUAACGGUGAGUGAAGCGGGAAGAGCUCAAAUUUGAAAUCUUAAAGGGUUUCCCUUUACGAAUUGUAGUUUAAAGAAGUGUUUUCUGUUGAGGUUUUGGUAAAAGUUCUUUGGAAUAGGACAUCAUAGAGGGUGAGAAUCCCGUAUUUGACCUUUACUUUCAACUUUGUGAUACACUUUCAAAGAGUCGGAUUGUUUGGGAAUGCAGUCCAAAAUGGGUGGUAAAUUUCAUCUAAAGCUAAAUAUUGGCGAGAGACCGAUAGCGAACAAGUACCGUGAGGGAAAGAUGAAAAGAACUUUGAAAAGAGAGUUAAACAGUACGUGAAAUUGUCAAAAGGGAAGCGUUUGACACCAGUGUUGUUUUUCUGAAAAUCAAUUAAAGAACUGUUUAUGCUAAGUUGUUUAGACUUUAUCAGCUAACUGUUUAGUUUUGAGCUUUUCUUUAAUGCACUUUUCAGUUAACAAGUCAACAUCAAUUUCUUUUGCUGUAAAAAAGCUUGAGGAAGGUGGCUUGAGAUUCGUCUUAAGUGUUUAUAGCCUCUUGCCUAUGCAGUCGGAGAGAUUGAGGUCUGCAGCGUAGAUCCUUCGGGGCUAAAUGCAUUUGUGCUAAGUUAUAGCAUUUUAUAGACAACUUGUUGACUAUGAUUUGUCUUGUAGCUUACUCGCUUAUGUUAUUUUACCUACGCUUAGGAUGUUGAAGAUGUAGCACAUCAU
rnacentral:rRNA from 1 species